UACAGAGGGUGCGAGCGUUGUCCGGAAUCACUGGGCGUAAAGGGCGCGUAGGUGGUUGGGGAAGCGUGUGGUGAAAGCCCGGGGCUCAACCCCGGGUCGGCCAUGCGAACUGCCCGACUGGAGCACGGUAGAGGCCAAUGGAAUUCCGGGUGUAGCGGUGGAAUGCGUAGAGAUCCGGAAGAACACCGGUGGCGAAGGCGGUUGGCUGGGCCGUGGCUGACACUGAUGCGCGACAGCGUGGGGAGCAAACAGG
rnacentral:rRNA from 2 species